rnacentral:rRNA from 1 species
ACUCAAAUGAAUUGACGGGGACUUGCACAAGCAGUGGAUUAUGCGGUUUAAUUCGAUGACAAACGAAAAACCUUACCAAGGUUAGAAAUCUACGUGAAGCUACGCAGAAACGUGUAGCGUCCGCAAGGACUCGUAGACAGGUGAUGCAUGGCCGUCGUCAGUUCGUGAUUUGAAUUGUUCCCUUAAGUGGGGUAACGAACGCAACCCUCGUUGCCAGUUACAAGUGUCUGGCGAGACUGCCCCCGUUUGCGGGCGCAAGUUCUUUGCUAAGGCAAAGAACUUGUUAUUGCAAACGGGGGAGGAAGGCGAGGAUGACGCCAGGUCAGCAUGUCCCUCUGAUACCUUGGGCCACACGCAUAAUACAAUCGCAUCUACAACGGGUCGCGACGGGGUAACCCUGAGCUAAUCCUAAGAAAAGGUGCGCCAGUUCGGAUUGGGGGCUGCAACUCGACCCCAUGAAGCCGGAAUUGCUAGUAAUCGCGGGUCAGCUAUACCGCGGUGAAUACGUUCUCAAGUCUUGUACACACCGCCCGU